GACAGAGGGUGCAAACGUUGUUCGGAAUUACUGGGCGUAAAGCGCGUGUAGGCGGCUUGGCAAGUCGGGUGUGAAAGCCCUGGGCUCAACCUAGGAAGUGCACUCGAAACUGCCUCGCUUGAAUGCCGGAGAGGAAAGCGGAAUUCUCGGUGUAGAGGUGAAAUUCGUAGAUAUGGGGAGGAACACCGGUGGCGAAGGCGGCCACCUGGACGGUAACUGACGCUGAGACGCGAAAGCGUGGGGAGCAAACAGG
rnacentral:rRNA from 1 species